UGGGGAAUAUUGCACAAUGGAGGGAACUCUGAUGCAGCGACGCCGCGUGAACGAAGAAGGCUUUCGAGUCGUAAAGUUCUUUUAUAUGGGAAGAUAAUGACGGUACCAUAAGAAAAAGCCCCGGCUAACUACGUGCCAGCAGCCGCGGUAAUACGUAGGGGGCUAGCGUUGUCCGGAAUCACUGGGCGUAUAGGGUUCGCAGGCGGAAAUGCAAGUCAGGUGUAAAAGGCAGUAGCUUAACUACUGUAAGCAUUUGAAACUGCAUAUCUUGAGAAGAGUAGAGGUAAGUGGAAUUUUUAGUGUAGCGGUGAAAUGCGUAGAUAUUAAAAAGAAUACCGGUGGCGAAGGCGACUUACUGGGCUCAUUCUGACGCUGAGGAACGAAAGCGUGGGUAGCAAACAGG
rnacentral:rRNA from 1 species